GAUGAACGCUAGCGGCAGGCCUAAUACAUGCAAGUCGAGGGGCAGCAUGAGUACUUGUACUUGAUGGCGACCGGCGCACGGGUGCGUAACGCGUAUGCAACCUACCCUUUACUGGAGGAUAGCCCGGGGAAACUCGGGUUAAUACUCCAUGGUAUGCUAAUAUCGCAUGAUAUAAGUAUUAAAGAUUUAUUGGUAAAGGAUGGGCAUGCGUAUCAUUAGUUAGUUGGUAAGGUAAUGGCUUACCAAGACUUCGAUGAUUAGGGGGCCUGAGAGGGUGAUCCCCCACACUGGUACUGAGAUACGGACCAG
rnacentral:rRNA from 1 species